rnacentral:lncRNA from 1 species
GAGAAAAGAUGUUCUAAUGUGUGGGAACUUCCUUUGCGCACCUAUGACUUUCCAUAAAACCCAGUUAAAACCUGUCCUACCCCUGAAUAUACCAGGAGCACAGGCCAGGAUUAGACCAAUCACAAUGCAGGAGAAAAACAUGAAACAGGACCAUGGAAAUUUAAGGCCCCUUUCUCUAUUUCUGCUUGUAUAUAACUAAUCACCAUCUUGGAAAGAUCAAGGGGAAGCGAGGAAAAUCUGAUAAACUAAGGUAUGAUGUGAAAUAGUCUAAUCAUGAAAGCAAACAAACAAAACCAAACAUACUACUGAAUUAAAGAGUCUAACACUUUUAUUUGUCAAAAUACUGCUAUUUUUAUUUCAGUUUAUUUGCUUUUUCCAUUACCCUUUGGGAUAGAGACAAGGGAGGAACACUAGAUGUAAGAGAAAAUCAAAAAGUACAUUUAUUUGCACAUUUGGAUAAUAUCAAGUAAAUUAGACCAUCCAGUAAGAUGAAGAGACUUUUUAAAAAAUCCUCACUGUACUGUCUUAAAGGGAACUGAGCUCCACUUCACUGAUGGCAAUAAUGGCAUUAGUUUCACCAAGACAAGAUAGACAGGAAAAAAAGAAUGCUUAAAUUUCCCUGAUAUUUCAUAAUUAAUAGUUCCUCUGAAGUUUGGAGGGGAACAAGUUAAACCAUAGACUAAUGUCAUAUGGUUGCUCAUGCACAUUGCAGUGUAUUCCAACAGAUAAUCCAAACUAGACCCAAACUAUCUCACUCUAUAGCCUAUUAUACCAUAUAGAAAAGGGAAGUCAUUUAAAUAAAGAGAGUACCUGACCAAAAAGUUAUAGUCAUCAUCCCCCAUCAUCCCCUCCCAAAGAAUCUAAAUCAUUGUCUUUAAAGAUGAAAAGCAACAUUUGACAGAAUUAUAGGAAGAGAAGUAUGAAUGCAAAUAUCCAUGGUAUAGAAUACAUAAAGAAAUAGAAUAUUUAAGAACACAUGCAUAGAGGAAAUGGUAUUUCCCAAGCACACAUAAUGUGACAGGUGCAACACAAAUUCCCUUCACCUACAUGUGCUAGUGCAAUUCUUGCAAAUAUAUAAAGCACAUAGUAUUAUUUGCAUUUCUCAAAUAAAUAUGGUAUGACUUAAAGAACUUAAUAAUAUAAAUGAAUUGCCCAUGGUCAGACUGUUAAUAAAGACUGGCCCAGGAGCUGUAUAAUUUCAUGACGGUUGCUGUCUUUUGUGAGGAAGGUAUUUAGUUAUUCUUAAAUUGAAAUAUAUGUUAUAAUGCCUUGUAUGAGAAUAAUGUUACAAAGAACCUUCAAAAGAAGAUAAUGUUUUAAAAUGUAAAGAAAAGCACUUAGUGAUUUACCUUUUUAAAAUAACUUACAAGUAUAUACCCUUGGGCAUCAAUCAUCUGCUACAGUUCAGGACACCCUGUCACAUUUGACCCUGCAAAUUCCCUCUCCACUAAUUUUAGAGUUUUCCCCCUUUCAUCCUUUCUGU